UCGCUGAAACCUCUGCCGCCUGGGUUCAAGCAAUUCUCUGGGAUAAUGGAAGUCUUAAAAAGAAAAUGGAUACUUCUCUGCCAGGGGAGAUACUGUGAUCAUGAAGGUGGCUUUCCCAGGGCAAGGCUGAUCUAUUGCAUUCUGGAUGUGCUGACUCCUACGAUUUCCCCAAGUGUGGGAAACUCAACUGCAUAAUUUGUGGAAAAUUUGAAGCCAGAUGACAAAGAUGCCUUAGAUGAGCAUAAGUCCUCUCCAACAGAAUAUGCUCCAUUAUAUCCUCAUCCAACAGGCUUUAUGUAUCAAUAGCCUGCCAACAGGACAUUGUUCAUCCACCUUGAAACGGCCAUUCAUCAACCAAGCAGGUUGUUGUUGUCAAUAGGGAGCUCUUCAAAGGGCAUUGCCCAUGUGACAGUGGGAUCCAGUAAUUCCUGAGGUGGUUCCAGACUACAUGCUAGAAAAUUCCCUACUACCUGCUCUUGAACAGGAUGAGCAACUCCUUGCACUUCCCUGGUUUGUGAUGAAGAAAUAAACAAUGCCCAGUUCCUGCCCUGGAGAAGCUCAUUGCAUAGAAAAAGGAAAAAGGCAGAUAUACAUGCCACAGUACAGUGCUGAGACAACAUAAAUCACAAGCAACCAAGUACAAAGUGAAUUAUACAGAAUCUGGUUUUCUUCUGUUUGGAUUUGAUACUGAGCUAUACUGGAUUCACUGACAAGAAGAGUUUGAAUUAGCAGCAUGCUGAGAAUGGACACAGUGUUUGAAGAGACUGAUAAAGAAAGUACAGGAGGAGUUUUAUUUUUGGAAGAAGAAAUGGUCCUUGGGCACAGACCCCAUAUGAGUUUUCCUUUCAGCGUUCUCUGCUCAGCUGUUCUCUGCUGUGGUAAUUUUGGAUCAAAUCACCCUAACGUUUUUCAACAAAGACUUUAGAAGAAAUAAAGCUGCAUUACUUUUUCUUGGCGCAUUCUUCCUUUAGGACCUAUAGUGAGGCAAUGUGUCCAUGCCCGUCUCUUGUGGGUCAGUCACCACUGACACCUUAUUUUGACCACUCGAUGCCAUCAUCUUUCUCUCAUCGAUCCUAAUCCUUGGGACUACGCAUCAAUGUCUGCACAGUGAUGUUUUAAAUAGAGACAGAACUUGCCCUGUGGCCCACGUUGGAGUCCGCUGGCAUGAUCGUGAUCCACUGCAGCCUCAACUUCUUUGGGUUCAAAUGAACUUCCCACCUUAGCCACCUGAGCAUCUCGCCUAUCUGGACUCCACCUAUCCUCCCCUGUCAGCAUCUCACAGCAUAGGCAUGGGCCACCAGAACCAGCUUAUUUUUGUAUUUUUUUAAGCAGAAGAGAUCUUACCAUGUUGUGAAGACUGGUCUCGUACUUCUGGCUGAAGUGAUUUGUUCUCCUAAGCCUUCCAAAUUGGUGGGAUUACAUAUGUGAACCACCACACAAAGACUCCUACUGGUAUAUUUAGAAGGAUAUAAGUAUGCCGGUUUUUGGAUGCAUGCAUGGAGAAGACCCCAAAGCUUUUCACUUUUCCCUGAGUUUGGGCUAAACACUAGAGUUCCUCAAAGAGUCCAUAUCCAAAGUCUGGGCAGUUUUUCUUUUCUUUCUUUUCCUUUUUUUUUUUCUUGGAUUGUUUUUAAAAAAUAUGUCGAGAAUAGUAGACCAUCAAAAAGGUGACAGAACACAGAUUAAGUGGAUAUACAACACAAAGAAUGCAGACCACAAAAAUAGCUCUGGAGGGUUGCUACACAAGUAAACAACCCACAAACUAAGGAAUUGUGGAUGUUAAGAAUUUGUUAUCCAAAUAUGCUGAAUACUAUCCAAUAUUUCAAUUCACUUCAUUUUACUAUUCUCAAAGACCUAAGGGAACCCAGGAGUACAGUGAUUCAAAACUGAAAAUACCAGUAAAGACAUACAGAUUAUUUUAAAAAUGAAAUCAAUAACCUUGAAGUUACUAGGAAGCUGUGUGAUUGAAAGUCAGUCACUCAAUCACAUGAUCCUGGGAUUUUCCUCUACAUGUGGGACUACCCAUACCUUGCAGCAUUGCUGUGAGUUCACCUGAGCAAGACACCUGCACAUGGUGGUGCUCAGGAAAUGUUAAUUUCCCUUUAUUGAAAUGGAACAACCCAUGGGUAUUAUGUCUUGAGGUCUGGAUUACAGUUGAGCAAGAUACAGAAGACGUUGUAAACCCUGAGGAGGCAUCACUGAUCACUGGGAGUCUGGAAAGGCAGCAGAGAAAAAGUGACCUGCAGCUGGAAAUGGCCAAUGGGUCUGUUACAGGAAGUUACACAGGCAUGAGUGGGGCAGAAGAGAGUUCUCCCAUCCACCUACCAGGAAUGUCAGGCCAUCGGGUAAUGGUUGGACAGUUAUCACAUUGCUUUUCUAAAAAUAAUAAUUUAGCAGCAGAGCCAGGGAUAGACAAGUUCCUACUGAUACACAGCUGGUAACAUUAAAGUGUUAACUAAAGUCACACUCCCGGGAGGGGGAAAAAGGGCUUCUAGUAAAAUUUUACAUACUGGGUGAGUGAACUGAGACAUGCACAUUAAGAGACGAAAUGGUACAGCAUGACUUUCUGGGGUCACUCCACCAAAAAAAGGGAGGAAGCUUCAGAUGGGCAUGCAUAUAAAUGCUCAAACACACUGCCUAUGCUCACUUCUCAAGGGUAAGGAGGGCACUGUGCCUGCUGGCAGCCCACACUUAGGAAAGAAUCAUGGAAAAAGGUGCACCAGAUGCUCAAGGUGGGCCAGCCUAUAAAGUCCCAGAAUGAAGAGAAAUGGCCACACUUGUUCUUCAAGUCACCCACUUGGAUCUCUUCCAAGUGCACUUUUCAUUCUUUCCUGCUCUAAAGCUUUUUAAUAAAUGUCCACUCCUGCUGUGAAACUUGCCUCAGGAUUUUUUUUCCUUCUUUAUGCCCAUCAGUUGAACUCUUUCACCUGAGGAGGCAAGAACUGACAUUGCUAAAGACGCAGAUGGAUUUGCUGCCAGUAACUCCGAUACUUUCCACCAGUAACAGAUCUAGGAGCUGGUGGACAUAGUUGCUGAAGCAUGUGUCCAGAAUGUUUCUGCCCAGGCCACAAGCAGUCCUGCACUGUAAAGGGACUUGAACCCCAAGCUCAGGGGACACCAUGGAAAGAGACUUCAGCCCGCUGAUGGAAUACUGGAGAUAGGAAUUUUUUAUUGAGGUAUAAUUCCCAUAAUAUGUUAACUGUUUUUUAAGGUAUAAUUCAGUGACACAGGAAUGUGCAUGUUCUACCACUUCUUAAUUCCAAAUUAUUUUCAUCAUCUCAAAAGGAAAUCCCCUACCUAUUAAGGAGCUACUACCCAAUCUGUCCUCUUUCUGACUCCUGACAAUUAACAAUCUGUUUUCUUUCUCUGUGAAAUUAUUUAUUUUGGAUAUGUUUAUAAAUAAAAUCAUACAAUACGUGA